UCACAGCGCUGCACGUCCUUCUCGAUGCGGUGCAGGUUGACGGUGUACAGGUCCAGGAACUCCGGCUGCAGGCCCCCAGGAGGGGACGGAGAGAACAAUUACACGCCAGCUCCUCACAGAGAGGUCGCGUUCCAGACAGUCUCCCUCCUCCUACCCCCCUCCUGCUGCCACUGAAAAGAACAUCCUCUCCCCGGACCAGGUGGGCGUUUGAUUUCAUUUUUGUGGUUUUCCGAGAAAGCCUCUUUUCACUUUGUACGAUGACAGUCCCUUUUUCUUUCCUUCCCUUUUAUGAAACAAAACAAUUCUCUAAGCUGCAAAGACGAAUUCUCCUCACUGUGCAUGACGGUUGGAACUAGCUGGAGAUGUACCCACCGCCCCCGCGGGACACUGGACAGGAAGACGGAGAAAGCGGACAGGAGUCCAGUUCUGGCAUAUGCCGGGCUUGAUGCCUUGACCCCCAUCUGAGGAAAAGGUUCAGUGAUAUGGCAAGAAAAAUGAGGAACGAUUAAAGGCCAAAAAUUCACCACAAAGGCAAGAAAUACCAAAUCUGGCUUUUGCCUUGAGGAAAGCUUCCAGACUGGGAAACCUGAAGCUUGGAUUUAAUGGUUUUGGGGAUCCUUCUCCCUGAAGGUGGAUAACCUAAGAGCAGAAGUAACUUCUAGAUGAAGGUGGAGAAAAAAAAAAAUCUAAGAUGACAGCUAUUCACCAGGAGCAGAAGACUGGGGAAGGUCUGAGGCUCUCAGCAUUCUUGAGGCAUACAAAAUGAACAGAAAACCUUGAGGUUUCUGAAUGUUCUAGAAGAGAUUUAGAAAACUGGCAGAGUUUGGGGGGCUGGGGGGAGCGAAUUAAUGAUUCGUAUGUAGCAAACGCAGGACAAGAAAACAGAGAUGAGGAAAUGAAAACACAUCUAGGGAAAACAAAAUUUUCUGGCAGGAAAGAAAAAACAAAUACAGUUUACUGCAUGGUGUA